rnacentral:lncRNA from 1 species
CGAUCUUGCAAUCAGAGGCUUCCUCUUGUACAAACAAAAUUCAGCAAAAUCCACACCUCACGAAAUGUUCCCGAUAAAGAAUAACUCUCACUCGCUGCAAUUGGAAGGCACAAAAAGGACACCCGACAGUCCUCAAAUGCCUCCACCGCAAGCACCACAGACCCCUCCGCAGUACAACCAGAAACCGUACCAUGGAAUAAAGCCAAAACGAUACCAAGAUAACACCGAUUAUCGAGAUUAUGCGCCAAAACAAAACUUUCGGCACCAAAAUUCUCGCCCUAACUCACACCACCAAGAUCGCCGACCGCGACCACCGUGGUAUGAUUACAACCGUUCUGACCAGUGGAGAAGACACGACAACGACCGCCGAACACCUCCACCCAGAAACGAACACUCAAAACCUUGGUAUCACAAAAAUAAUCAAAGGUCAUACGACCAGCAGCCAAACAGAUCAAGAUCAGACGAUGAAUCUAAUGAAAUAGAAAGUUUAGAAAUUAGGUUAGCUAACCAAAUCACUAAAGAAAUGGCAUCCAUCAAGAAAAUGUUCGAACAAAUGAUAGAUGACAAAACCUAUGAUAAACCAAAACAAUCAAAACGAAAAAAUGACGAUGAUUCGCCUCGUGCUGUCUUGCUGGUGCAAACACAUGCACCAAACCACCAUUUUUCCAAUGGACAUCAGUCCAUUGAAGGUGAACCACCAAUUCACCAACUCUUGUGCAACCUCUACGAAAGAGGAAUCGCCCGAAAGUUUUACAUUUCAGCCACUUUUGAAGGUGUGCUUACCAAUGAAGCCUUACUCGACACUGGAGCAGACAUAUCCCUCAUGUCCGCCCAACUGUUCAAUGAGCUGCGCAGCCUAGCCAAGGAGACCAACCUAAGGUUGAUACUCCAAGACUGCCACAUUGACAUUGAACCUUAUGGCGACAACGCCACCGUUAUCACGAAGAAGGCUCUCGUACAAGUCACCAUAGGUCAGCUGACUCUGGUGCACCCGUUUUACGUCUCAGACCACAACCAGAUUCCUCUUCUCAUAGGUAUCGAUCUGCUCAACCGAUUUGAGCCCCUGAUCGACUUUCAAAACCUGAAAAUCUGGGCACAAGUCUGGCAGCCACUGCCGCUGCAGCAUGACUCACCCGACGGAGUUCAGUGCUAUCAACUGAACCACCCUCAGGCUCUAAAAGAGACCCCCAGCCGGUCUCCGGCCCAAAUGCGUCCGGCUACUAAAACCGUAGACCGUACUCUAACGACCAAAAGUACCUCCCUGUGCGCGUUAACCAACAACCCCCUCGCUACCGAUGGUCUUGCAUUUCAGAACCGACACAUCAACGAUGCUCUCGCCAAAGAAAGGGCGCUAUCAGGAACACCCUGGUCCUUUGACCCCACCCAGCUCGCUGAGCCCCACCCGUUGUCAGUGAAUGCUAUUACGCGCUCUCGUGCAGCUGCCGAGACCGACACCCCAAUGUCCUCGCAGGUCAUCGCACCGGUAAAACCCGCUUUCACCGACAAUGACCCAAUAACGUUAAAAGUCUCCUCGGACUUUGCCUCCACAUCCAGCCAUCUGUUCGCUGCCCGUCGCUCAUUACAGAUAGUCAAGGGCACCUUAGUCCAUGUUUCUGCGGACUCCCAAACGCAUGCGUUCGUUGUCCCACAGAACCAAAGGGGGGUGAUAUUGGCACAUGCCCAUGACAUGCCCUGCGACAGACACAGAGGAGUCAAAGUCAAAACCAAGCUAACACCGCUACCGCUUACACCACCCACCAAUACACGACCGAUCUUGAGAACCACCUCCGAGCUACGUUCGCGUUUGCUCAAAAACACCUCAAAGAGAGCGCGAAGGGCCGUAAAACCUACUACGACCAAAAAGCCUCACAAGAGGAACUACAGGUGGGAGACCGCGUCUGGUAUUAUAGCGUUGCUCCGCCCGCCGGCAAAACCAAUCAUCAUGCAACCAAAUUGAAAAAAUAAAUAAAUAAAUAGAAGAAAUUUCUUCCCAAAUGAACAGGACCCUACCUGGUCACCGAUAAACUGUCUCCAGUGGUGUACCAAAUAAAGAUUCCGAGCACAAAAACCGAACCAAAGCUCAAAUGGGUCCACCGAAAACCAAAUUAAGCUAUACAGAACACCAAAAUCAACAGACAAGCCAUCAACCGCGAGCUGAAUAAACCCUACGAGCCAAGAGAUAGCAUUCCUAAUUAACCUACCAGUCGUCACGUUCAAUAACAUCUACCACCUCAAGGACGACAUAAACUCAGACCUAGGAACUAGAAUCCACUACGCUAUCUGGUCCCACCGAGGACACACCCGAGGGUCAGGAUUUAACCGUGCUGGUUGAUCCGUAAACUUCCAAUCAGCCAUCCCAUUGAUCAGGC